rnacentral:lncRNA from 1 species
GACUUCAAGCUCAGCGUUAGUCUCCGCGUCGUGGAAGUUGCUCUGAUCAGUCUCCUGAUCUUUCCCAAAGUGCUUCACCACUAUCUCCCCGCUCGUGCUGUUCUUCAGCUCGUACCUGUUGAUAUCAAGAUUCUCCCACACGAUCAAGGUCUCGAUCGCACCCAUCUCCAGAGCCUUGAGAGUGUCCUCCACACCGAACACGUACUUCCCCGUGUCCUGACUAAUCUCCUCGAAGUACUUCCCAAUCAGCUUCUUCUCCUGAAUGAACUUCACGUUAGACAAAAUCUCAGCAGAGAGCUCAAUCGCUUGGUUGAAUCCGUUUUCGCCUCCGUAGGAGACAUCAACCACGUUCAAGAUCUUAGCUUGAAGACGCGGAUCGAACAGCUCAGACUGGCUAAGCUCGGUCUUGAAAUCCGCAGAACCAGCAAGGAUCAAACCCGCGACAUUCGGCUGACUAGUAGCAGGGUUAAUAUAAAACUGCGUCGCUAGCUCUGCAGUCUUCCUCACGUAGUUAUGUCUCUUCUCCAUCCUUAGCCUAGCGAAACGAAGCGCGGACUGCCCUCCUCUCCCGUGCUUCUUCGGCAAAUCGACAGUGAACUUAUGAAGCACCUCUCUAGUGUUCCCACUCAAAGUCCCAAACAGAGUCCCGUUACCAUCCAUCACGAUGAAACCAAACUUAUCAUCACUCUCUAACAGCUCGUUCAACGCACCAGUAUGAAACUUGUUGUCACAUAGGUACAAGGAGGCGUUAAUGGGCCUGAAAGGUUCGAAGUCGAAGGUGACUUUCUUCUCCUUGCCGUCGUCGUUGACGAUGGUUCCCGUGUAGAGGACGAGCCCGUUGGUGGGGACUUUGUUGUAAAGCUUCAGCCUUUGCUGAGCGGAGGUGAUGGCGGAGAGGACGGACUGGCGGUUGACGCGGGACUUGAUGUUGGAGGCGGUUCCGUACUCGUCGCCGAGCAUCUUGGUGACGCGGGAGACUUGGUCGCGCGGCGGCAUGAUGAGCGAGAUCAUGCUCGUCCCGUUGCCUCUUGCGGACUCGAGGCCUUUGAUCAGUUUCUUGAUUUUCCAGAUCUCGAUGUUGGUGUCUGCCUCCUUAUCUAUCAGAUCUCAGACAGGUUAUGAAACAAACCAUCGCAACAACAUUAGCCAAGAAAUUCGUGAGUAUAUUUGGCCGCAGGGUUGGAGGUCCAUAACUCAAUAUGUUCGAUCAGAUUUUGGCCGAUGGUAAAGAAAGACCAACUAUCAUGGGGCAAGCCGUAGGCGCGUGUAGUCAAGGUCCAUUCGAUCAGAGUAUAGGAUGAUCGACGGCUAAGUAACAUAUUCUACCCAAGUUUUCUUCACCAACGAGUUCUAGAAGACGAGAGGGGUCCAAGUACUUCAUGUUCAUUCAAGUGACAGUUCAAAAGAUCUAUUCAUCAAGUUACUUUCAACAUCAACCUUUCACUGAGGUUCAAAUCAGAAGGAGUAAUACGUGUUCUACUCUUUUUCCUUAUCCAUGGUUUUGUCUCACUGGGUUUUUCUGGAAAUAUUUUAAUAAGGCAACAUCCAAAGCGUAUUACGAGCUCUUAUGGUUAUAACAUUCAAGGGGGAGUGUUAUGAACCGAUUUGUGAAUGUCAUAACCAAAUAGGCAUAUUCUUUUUUUACUUAGACAGUUUUCUUUUCUUUGUAUGCUUAGGAUUUCAUUUUCCUAAUCACUUUAGGAUUUGUAUACUUUCCAUUUAUCUAUGACGGUCUAUUGUAAUUCCCUAUAUAUAUAAAGAGCUCCAUAAUUAUGAGAUAUAGACAAUUUCUUUCUCCCAUUAAUUUACAAUAGAUUUUAGAUAUUUAGAAAGAUAGUGUUUCAAAAAAAAAAAAAAAGAUACUUAGAAAGAUAACAAAAAAAUCGAUUAUUUGAAGUAUGCUCAUAAGAAAAGGAAUCAGCUAGCUACAGCAAUGUGAAACAAUUGUUGUUUUGUGGAUGUUUUUUUUCUUAUAAUAGAAAAAACUUUUAUUACUUUUAAAAUGAGUGGAGGGCAAAGGAAGAUGAGAAGAAAGGGACCAUGGCCUCGUUGUUAUAAAAGAAAGGGACCAUUGCUUCCGACAUCUUUUAUCCAAGUUAAUCUUGAAAUAUUGGAUUCUCUUUUUUUGGUCGAAAAUUGAUUCAAGUUGUAGCUUCAAAUCCAAAAGACAAAAUACAAGAUGAAAUUGUAAUACUCGGAUAUUCUUAUUUGACUAUUUCAUAUAACCAUUUACAUUAGCUAUUUUCAACUUUACAAUUGUCAACCGACUUACAAUUUUUUGUUUGUUUGGAAUAAGAAUAGGCGUUAGACAUGGAAAAUGUAAAGUAACAAACUUAACGGUCCGGUUUAGCCCUCUAAAUUCUAAUCAUACCACUCCCUGUAACUGGAGUAAGUACACAGAAAAAUAAAAAAAAAAUGAGAGAGAGGUGGCAAAGAUGAAGUGAAGGAGGUGAGAGACGUAAAGCAAAGCAAAGGGGAUCGUCACGAGAAUCAGUGGCAAGUCUUAGCUUUUAGUAUUUGAGCUCUGAAUUUUUUCUCCUUUAUCUUCUUUUUUUGAUCAGCCAUCUUCAUAAGAUCCUCGUGAUUCCACUCGCCUUGUCUCUCCCAUUUCAGAGGUUUCAUUUUGCUUCCAACUUCUCCCAAAGUUCGAAACUUUUCACUAUGAACGGCGACGGAACUUGGCUUCACGACGCUGGUGAACAAUCUCAGGCAGGCAAUGAUAACGAUGAAUCUGGCUCGUGGGUCAGAAACACAGAAGAAAACUGGUUCAAUAACCCACAACCACUACACCACGGUUCUCAAACCAUCCUCCAUAACAACAACCAAAACGACUUCAGAUUCAGUGGUGGGUUUCCUUCAAACCCCUCAGAGAAUCUACUUCUCCUUCUUCAGCAAUCUACUGAUACAUCUUCUCAAUUGCAACACUUCACACUCGACCCUACUCCACAAGAACAACAACAACAAUCUUUCUUAGCUACCAAAGCAUGCAUCACUUCUCUCCUCAACGUCCCCACCAGCAACAACAACAACCCUUUUGAUGAACUCGGUUUCAGUUCUGGGUUUUUCGGACAAACACAUGUAAACCAGACUCCAAACUCAAUGAGUUUCGCUGGAAUGAGUUCACCGCCGGAAAACACCGCCGGAGUAAGUAACAGAUUCAGUCCUCUGGAGUUUACAGGAGUCGCUAAUGGAGUUUUCGAGAACAGAGCCAAGGUUCUGAAACCACUAGACGUCUUAGCUUCGUCCACCUCGCAGCCGACACUGUUCCAGAAACGAGCUGCGAUGCGUCAGAGCUCAAGCAGCAAAACGUGCAACUCGGAGUCUUCCUCAGAGAUGAGGAGAUCAAGCUACGAGCCUGACAUCGAUGACGCAAGUACUGGAAUCAUCGACAUCAUCUCUGAUGAACAUAACAAAGGCAAGAAGAAAGGCAUGCCUGCUAAGAAUCUAAUGGCUGAGAGAAGAAGAAGGAAGAAGCUUAACGACAGGCUUUACAUGCUUAGAUCGGUCGUUCCCAAGAUCAGCAAAGUAAGUUAAAGAUUCUUUCUUUCUUCUCCUUUAAGAUCUCAUGCAGAUUCUUGUUUCUUUUGUGGAUGUAGAUGGAUAGAGCAUCUAUACUUGGUGAUGCUAUUGAUUAUCUUAAAGAGCUUUUACAGAGAAUCAACGAUCUUCAUACCGAACUUGAGUCUACUGCUCCACCGAGUUCUUCAAGCUUGAAUCCGUUAACACCGACCACGCAAACGCUAAGUUACCGUGUUAAGGAAGAGUUGUGCCCUUCUUCUUCCUUCCCAAGCCCUAGAGGCGAGCAAGCAAGAGUAAGAAUAACAAUAACCUGAUUCUGUUGUUUGCUUUAAAGUAAGGCUUCUUGGUUUGUUAUAUAUUUUGUUUUUUUUUUUUUUAAUAAUGUAGAUUGAGGUUAAGUUAAGGGAAGGGAAGGCAGUGAACAUUCACAUGUUCUGUGGACGACGACCUGGUCUUUUGCUUUCAACCAUGAGAGCUUUGGAUAAUUUAGGGUUGGAUGUUCAACAAGCUGUUGUUAGCUGCUUUAACGGGUUUGCUUUGGAUGUUUUCCGCGCUGAGGUACUUUUAUUACUAAGUUAGUACACUAAGCAGUCAAAAGAGUAGUUAAUUUUAGAAAUGGUUUGUAGUGGUAUUAACAUGUUUUGUUUUUUUUUUUUGUUUUUUUCACUAAAUCAGCAAUGCCAAGAAGGCCAUGAUGUGGUGCCUGAACAAAUCAAAGCAGUGCUUUUAGACACUGUCGGUUACACCGGUUUGGUUUGAUGAGUCCAGUUCUUUUGGGGGAACAGAAAGGAGUAUCUGUGUGAAACAGAGCUAGACUUAAGCCGUCUUUAGUUCAGUCAUUUUCUUAUUACUUAGUUCCAUCAAAAGUUUUAACCAUGUAUUCAUAAGAUAAUUGUUUUAUCUUUAGCUUUGAAACAAAACAUGUGUUUUGCUUCUUUUCAACUUUUUAUUUAGCUUUUUGAGAAAUGUGUGUUUCCAAUGCUUUGCUCUUGUACAAGAACACUAAAACACACACACAUAGAAAACGAGUAAACAGCGUUGACUUGAUAGAAAGCCAUGCAGGAGAACUUUAUAAAAUGAGAUGUGUAGUUUAACUCUAGCUCUCCAUUGGUCUAAAUCAAAUACAAAACUAAACAUUUCACCAUUGAUUUUCUCGUCAAAAAAUAGUUGAAAACCAAAAAACUAAAAACGAAAAGGAAUUAUCCAGAACCUCCAAAAUAGAAUCAAUUACAACAAAAACUGUCUAGCAAACACAUUAAACUGUCCGAGAAGACAAAAAGCUCAAGAAAGAGACAAAAGCUUUGAUAAAAGACCAAUCACUGUAUCGAUCCAAAACCAUCACCAAAAGUGUUCCCACUCUAAUCAGAAUCCUCAUAAACUUCACCAUCCGACAACUCAUCAAACGUCCUCAUGUCAAGCUGGUAACGAAGCAUACCACCGAUCCCACCAAACCCCCUGCAGAACUGCGACCCUUCUUGCGACUUAUUAGUCACGAACUCAAGCGUGCAUCCAAAACGUUUGUACUCGUUCGCAAACCACUCGAGGAGAGGCAUCUUCUCCUGGACUUCAAGCUCAGCGUUAGUCUCCGCGUCGUGGAAGUUGCUCUGAUCAGUCUCCUGAUCUUUCCCAAAGUGCUUCACCACUAUCUCCCCGCUCGUGCUGUUCUUCAGCUCGUACCUGUUGAUAUCAAGAUUCUCCCACACGAUCAAGGUCUCGAUCGCACCCAUCUCCAGAGCCUUGAGAGUGUCCUCCACACCGAACACGUACUUCCCCGUGUCCUGACUAAUCUCCUCGAAGUACUUCCCAAUCAGCUUCUUCUCCUGAAUGAACUUCACGUUAGACAAAAUCUCAGCAGAGAGC